UACUAUGACCAAAUUAUCCUGAAUGUGCCAGAUCUCGUCAAAUCUAUGAAGCUAAGUAGGGAUCAUGCCUGAUUAGUACUUUGAUACGAGAUUGCCUGGGAAUGCAGUGUAUCAGGUGU
rnacentral:rRNA from 1 species